CUCUGGUGGCACCGCGCCCAGCACUUCGGGCUCUUGGUGGCGGCCGAGCUGCGGGACCAGAGAUCCCCCCACUCGGCACCCCUGCUCCUGCCGAGUGAACAGGACUCCUGGCUACUCUGCACUGGCUUUCUAACUUUCUGAUGGGGGUGCAGUCCUUUGCAUUCCAGGGGUCACAGCAACACCCGCAUCGCCCGUUCUCAGCCGCAGGGUCUCCGCCUGCAUCACUCGACUCUAAAAUUUCCUUCCCUAGUGCACGGAACUGCUGUCCAGGACUCUGCUCUCCGACUACCUCAGGGAGGAUUCUGUUUUGGGAAAAGUGUUGAUCCAUUUCUAAUUCAUCUUUGUUUCUUCAUAAUGGAGUGUUGUGCCAGAGAUGGCAUCUCACCAUGUUGAACUCGUGGCCUCAAGCGAUCCUCCUGCCUCAGCCUCCCAGUGCUGAGAUUACAGGCAUAAGCCACCAUGCCCAGUCUCUCUUUUCCCUUCUAUGGCCACAGCUGAAGAUGGCAGAACCACAAGUUAGGAGUCUUAGUUUCUGAAUUGGAACUCUUGGAGAAGAACCAUCUAGAAUAACUAUUUUGUACUUUACAUGAACGAAGCAGACUCUUCGGUUAUGUUUAGCUGUCAGCUUUAUCGUAAAACAUACUUGGGAUUCAUUGAUGAACAAGACAAGCUGGCACCUGUAGUCCCAGCACUUUGGGAGGCCAAGGCAGGAGAAUGGCUUGAGGCCGGGAUUUGCAGAUGAAACUGGGCAACGUAGCAAGACACUGUCUUUACAAAAAAUAAAGAAAAAUUAGCCAGGCACGGUGGCAUCCACCUGUAGUUGCAGCUGCUCAGGAGACUGAGGAGGAAGGAUCGCUUGAGCUCAGGAGUUCGAGGCUGCAGUGAACUAUGAUAUGAUAGUGCCACAGCAUUCAUAAUCAUCUCAUCUGCUUGCCUUGCUUGUUGAUUGGUUGCAUGUUUCUCUCAUAAGUGCAGGGACCUCAUAUCUCUGUCUAUUCACUUCUGUGUGCCCAUCAUCUAUUAUAUUGCUGGCAUAGAGAAGGCCUUUGCUAUAAACUUAUAGAAACUUGGAUAAAUGAAAGGCACCAGGCUAAGACAAGCAUGAUACCUGCCCUUUUGGACCUUACAGUAUAGAGUAGGGAAAAGAUAUUAAGUCAGUAGUGAAUAUACAAUUACAAAUCUGUUGAGUAUGAUUAAAGAAUAGAGUGCUGUGAGAGAAGGGAGAAGUAAAUUAAAUUGAGACCUGAAAGAAGAGUAGACAUUAGCCAAACUAAGUCAUGAAGAACUUUCCAGGCAAAGUCUCUUGGGGUAGGGGGAAGCUUGGCAAGUUUCAGGAAACAAAACAAGGCAGUGUGGCUGAAAGGAUCAAGGAGAAUGGUGCCAGUCAGGAUGAAGAGGGAGCUAGGAACCAGAUCAUUCAGACUCUCGUAGGCCAUGUUAGGGGGUUGCAAUUUCAUCGUAAUAACAAUGGAAAUUCAUUGAAAGGUUUUAAAAGUGGGGGAUAAAGUGAUCAAAUUGGUGAUUUUAAAAUAAUCCCUCUGUUACAUGGAGAAUGGAUUGGAGGGGGAGAAGUGAGGAUGUGGCAAAACAUUUUAAGAAAUUUAUUACAACAGCGCAGGAUGGCUUGGUCAGGUCCAGGGCCACCAAGCAAGGUUGUGGAGAUCGUGGCACAAGGGAGCAAGUGUGGCUGAAAUCCAGCCCCACUGUCUGCCCAAAAGAAGAGGCUUCUUUCACUAAUUUGCAUAAAGGUUAGCCCAGAAAUGACAGUGGUAGCAUGGAGAUGGAGCAAAGUAGACAGAUUUGGGAUAUACUUUGGUGGCAGAAUAAACCGGACUUAAUUAACUGGAGUGCAGGUUAGAGAGAGAAAGAGGUCACAAAUGAAUACCAGGUUUCUGCUGGGAACCAGUGAACAGUUGGAAAUGCCAUUUGUAGAGAUAGGCUAGAUGGAAGAUUUGAGGGUAAAGAGUGUAGUUGUCAGUUUCAGAAGAAUAAACUCCUCUGAGAUAUGACCUAACCCUCCCAGAAGGAAUGAUUUGCAUCUUCCUUUGGGAGGACAACUCAUCCUCUUCCCUUGCUGGGUUUACCCAAAAGGUGGUGGUGCUUGAGGGUGGAGGGGGGUAGGAGUAGUCUUACGAGAUGGGCACUCCUAUCCACUUGAAACUCAAGAUACUAACUCAGACCUGUAGCAAAAAUAGAGUAAGACUCUAGAAUAAAGCUGAUGCUCUUGGAUAUUUUCAAUCUUUUAUUGACAGGUACACAGGGAGUGGCAAAGGAGAUUUUUACAUGAAAUUAUGAGUACAGACCAGGCACUGUGGCUCAUUCCUGUAAACCCAGCACUUUGGGAGGCUGAGGCGGGUGGAUCACCUGAGGUCAGGAGUUCAGGACCAGCCUGGCCAACAUGGUGAAACCCCGUUUCUACUAAAAAUACAAAAUUAG
rnacentral:lncRNA from 1 species